AUCGAACGCUGGCGGCAGGCUUAACACAUGCAAGUCGAGCGAGCGGCGGACGGGUGAGUAAUGUCUGGGAAACUGCCUGAUGGAGGGGGAUAACUACUGGAAACGGUAGCUAAUACCGCAUACCAUCAGAUGUGCCCAGAUGGGAUUAGCUAGUAGGUGGGGUAAUGGGUCACCUAGGCGACGAUCCCUAGCUGGUCUGAGAGGAUGACCAGCCACACGGGAAAUGAUACACGGUCCAGAGUCCGGCGGGAGGCAGCAGUGGGGAAUAUUGCAAAAGGGGCGCAAGGCUGACGCAGCCAUGUCGCGUGAGUGAAGAAGGCCUUCGGGUUGUAAAGCACUUUGAGCGAAGAGGGGUUACUCGUAGAAGAAGCACCGGCUAACUCCGUGCCAGCAGCCGCGGUAAUUC
rnacentral:rRNA from 1 species